rnacentral:piRNA from 1 species
UGACCCAAAAGCAGCCGCGGUGCCUCUUCU